UUUUUUUUUUUUUGGUCUUUUUAGGGCCACACCUGCGGCAUAUGGAGGUUCCCAGGCUAGGGGUCCAGUUGGAGCUGUAGCCAUAAGCCUGCACCAAAGCCACAGCAACUCAGGAUCCGAGCCUCGUGUGUGACCUACACCAAAGCUCAUGGCAAUGCCAGAUCCUCAACCCAGUGAGCAAGGCCAGGGAUCGAACCCGCGUCCUCAUGGAUGCUAGUCGGGUUCGAUAACCACUGAGCCACGACAGGAACCCUCUUUUCCUGUUAUUCUUGUCCUCUGAAAAAGGACUCUGUCUUCUUAGAGUCAAACUUCACAUUUGGAAAGUCCUAGGAGACUCUCCUGAUGGUAGCACGUCACCCGACUCCCCAUCAAGGGCUGGGCCUUGUUCCAGUAGGAGGGUUCUUGGAAAAAAAGACCCCUUGGAGCAUCAGUUGAAGUGUGUGGGAUGACUUGGGAUGGUAAUUUGUGUUUUGUUCUACUUUCCACUCUUGGUUUCACAUGAGAACUCAGCCCCUUCACCACUUCUUGCUUUGGGGAUUUCUGCCAGUUGAUGUCUGCCUUUCUUCAUUCUGCUGAAAGUCUUAAUUCUGCCAAUGGGAUUAUGGCAGGUGCCCUGGAGGGAGAAGGUAAGGUGGGGGGUCUUUGAGGGCCAAGAGAGGAGAAUGCGGAAUGUGGAAGCCAGGAUUCCUAGAUGGUGAGGACCCAGGCCCUGCUCUGUGGCAGAAAUCCAAGGAGUGGCAAAUCUCAGAGAGCUAUGCUUAGGGAGGAUCUUGGGUCUAGACAGGCCAGGGAAUCCGAGGAAAUCUGCAACCUGAAGUGACCUUGUGGCCAGGAUUACGGAUGUCUCAGAGGGAACCACAAGGACUGAUGACCAUGGGCUAAGGGAUCCUAAUGCUACACUAUUGCAUAAGACCCCGAAGGCCUGAUUGAAGGUGGGAGUGAUGUUUGGAGGCCUCAAUAAUGUCUGAGGUUGAGGAAUUCUCAUUGUGGCUCAGCAGUUAAUGAACCCAACUAACAUCCAUGAGGAUGCAGAUUCAAUCCCUGGCCUCGCUCAGUGGGUUGAGGAUCGGUGUUGCUGUGAGCUGUGGUGUAGGUCACAGAUGUGGCUCAGAUUGCACAUUGUUGAGGCUCUUCAUAGGUGGGUAGUUACGGCUCUGAUUGGACCCAUAGCCUGGGGACCUUGAGAUGCUGUGGGGGUGGCCCUAAAAAGACAAAAAAAUAAUAAUGCCUGAGGCUGAAUUUCUGAGGAGUCGUACAGAUUUAAGUUGAUUAAAAAACCAAGGCUGUUUUUUUUUUUUCUUUUUCUUUCCACACCCGAGGAGUUUGGGGAUGCAGAAUUUCACAGAAAUCCCUUUAAGGGCCCGUGACUAGCACAAGGGUGGGACCUAAGUCUUAGCUUGGAAAAUGAGGGCAUUCAUGAUUAAAGCUAGCUAAAAGGGGCAUGGGCACAGGUCUUUACAUUAGAGCAUCUCUUCCUCAUAUCACAGACAUGAGAUUCUCAAACUGUGGUUAGCCGGCCUUUGGUGUCAGAUUCACCCGGGCUAUUUGUUAAAAGGGCAGAUUCCAGGGUCUUCUCCAGAGCUGGUUAACCUUAAUCUUUGGGAGUGGGUCCAGAUAAUCCGCAUUUUAUUAAUUUCCUUAGGCAAUCCUCUUUUCCUCCUAAUUUUUUGUUUGUUUGUUUUUUGUUUUUUAGGGCCGCACUCGUGGCAUAUGGAGAUUCCCAGACUAGGGGUUGAAUUGGAGCUGUACUUGCUGGCCUACACCACAGCCACAGCCACAGGGGAUCCGGCCAUGUCUCCUUCACCACAGCUCACAGCAAUGCUGGGUCCUUAACCUACUGAGCAAGGCCAGGGAUCAAACCCACAACCUCAUGGUUCCUAGUUGGACUCAUUUCCACUGCACCACAACGGGAACUCCUCCUCUUAAAUAUUGAGGACCACUGUCUAUACAGUGAAGAUUUGGAAGGUAUGCUGGUGAACUGGGGAAGGGGCAUAGGGGCGUGCUACUGGGAGAGGUGAAGGGGGUCCAUGCAGUUGGUUCAGCCAGGAGGAGUUUCUGGGCUGCAGAGUCUGAGCUCUGUUGCUGAGCAGUUACCUAGAAUGGAUCAGAACCAGAUUGGGGGGAACCUGGCCCCUCUCUGUGGCUCCUCCAGAGGAGGAGACAUCUGGGUCCAUCCCCUCCUCCAUGCCAGAGUGGCUGGUUUAGGUCAAAAAAGGACCCGGGCUUGGCUGACCUAAUUUAUUGUUUCUGCUCUUAUCCUGUUUGCUUUCUCACUUCCACUCAGAGGGGAAAAUACAGUUCCAGUCCCAUUAGGAGAGGAAGCAGCCAGCUGUUUCCAGGCUGAACAGCUGGGGUGGGGGUGGGGCAGUGGACACCAGAUAGGAAACAGUUCCAGCCCCCGCCUCCCCCCAGCCACAGCCGAUGAGGUCAUUACCUGGGACAACAAUGUUGACUUCCGGGAAGACAGACUGUAUGGUCUGGCGGAGCAGCUGGUAGCCCAAGGCCUGAUCAUCAUAGGGGCUAAUGGGUGGGGGGUCAAAGGCAUUCAAUACAUGGAACUGGACCCGGUCGUCUGCCACAAUGUCCUUGGCUAGUUUUAGGACCUUGAGGGAGGACACAAAGGGAGUUUGAUUUUGUAGUGAUCUGCUAUCCAAGGACCACAUGGAUUCAAGCAAUCCUGAUUUCUCUCCAGCAAGGCAGAGCCCUGGGGUUUACAGAGGAGACUCGUUUUUUAUUUAUUUAUUUAUUUAUUUUUGUCUUUUUGCCUUUUCUUGAGCUGCUCCCAUGGCUUAUGGAGGUUCCCAGGCUAGGGGUCGAAUCGGAGCUGUAGCCACUGGCCUACAUCAUAGGGGCUAAUGGGUGGGGGGUCAAAGGCAGAGCCACAGCAACGUGGGAUCCGAGCCGAGUCUGUGACCUACACCACAGCUCACGGCAACGCCGGAUCCUUAACCUGCCGAGCAAGGCCAGGGACUGAACCCACAACCUCACGGUUCCUAGUCGGAUUCGUUAACCACUGUGCCAUGACGGGAACUCUGAGACUAGUUUUUCAGUCUUAGUACCUCAAUUUCAGCUGACGGGUUGUAGGAGAUAGGAGAGCUGGGUCUUCCUGGAAAUCUACAGCGUGGUGGAUUUAGGUUAAAUAUCUGGGGGGCUUGCCUCACAGCCACGAGCCAGGUGCGGGGUAGGGAAAUCAGCAAAUUGCAUCCUCCCCCAUGGGUUGUGAUCCGUGGGCUGGGUGCAAAGGUAGAAGAGACAGCAUGGUGAUGUCAACCAUCUCCAGGCUGGUGGAUGGAUAAGGAUGACCUCACUUCAGCCUGGGAGCCUCAGACAGGUGGUGACAGGGUCAUACACUUUCUUCUCUCUGGGCAUCCUUGCUUCCUGUUUGUAACCAACAGCAGUGGAGCCAGGAAGAUGAGCUCAACAGACAAAAAGUCAGGAGUUGGGGGGCUGGUAUUCAAGGUUUCUCUCUGUGCCUCUUUUCCUCAGGAAGGAACCUGAGGAAGCUUCUAGAAAAGCUGGUCUAAAAUGACUAGAGUUGAACUCAGCAAAAGUCCUAGUCCCUGGCAGGAUGUAGACCAGACCCUAAGGAUCAGAUCACAUGGAGCCAUGUAGGAAUGGACCAGGAGGCUAGCUAAGGAUGGCUCUGCCCAAACCCACCCAGCCAUCCAGGGAAAACCUUAGCACUAUGUCAACCCAUCCGCGCUACAGUUGCUUUAGAAUUAUCUCUGCCCUAGAAAGGGGAGCACCUUAUAGCUGGGGGACAUUAUCUCAAGAGGACCCCUUUUAGGUCAGUGUCCCCUAGAAAAAUCAUGCUAUUAGCUGAGUCUGGAAAGGAAUGAGGGUUCCUACCUCUGUCUUAGAAACCAUCUGAGUCAAACCACACUUCCUGCUGGGGGGCUGGGGGAGGGGUCAACUUAUCAGAGUUUAUUUUCACUCCGGCACUUAUGUCUCAAAUGCUCUAAUACAAAAAUUAAUAUAUAGUCUGGAUAUAUUCUUUUUUUGUCUUUUCUUUAGGGCUGUACCCGUGGCAUAUGGAGGUUCCCAGGCUAGGGGUCUAAUCGUUGCCACAGUUACAGCAACGCAAGAUCUGAGCCACGUCUGCGACCUACACCACAGCUCCUGGCAACGCCGCAUCCUUAACCCACUGAGUGAGGCCAGGGAUUGAACCUGUGUCCUCAUGGAUGCUAGUCAGAUUUGUUUCUGCUGAGCCAUGACGGGAACUCCAUUGUCUGGAUAUAUUCUUGAUCCACUGGGAGGUUCCUGGUCAUCCCCUAUAAGGUGGGUUGGGACUGUGCCUUCUGCCCCCUGCCCCAAAUUACUUAAAGAUUCCUGCCUCCAGAAACUGAAGAGGGCAAAGAGACUGGACCUCCUUCAGUGACAGCCACAAGAGCCCAGGUGUCCCACAAGCUGCUAGGCUAGGUCCAGACUCAAAGACAGGGGUUGUGUCUACCUCAUUUUUAUAUUUCUAGUGCCAAGAACAUAAGAGGCAUGUAAUGGGAGUUCUGCUGGGGCACAGUGGGUUAAGAAUCUGAUUGCAGUGGCUCUGGUUGCUGCAGAGGUGCCGGUUCUAUCUCUGGCCUGGCACUGUGGGUUAAAGGAUCUGGUAUUGCUGCAACUGUUGUGUAGGUCACAGCUUUGGCUUGGAUUCAAUCCCUGACCUAGAAACUUCCAUAUACCAUGGGUGUGGCCAUUAAAAAAAAAAGGCAGGCAAUAAGUGUUGGAUACCCAAAGUUGUGGGGUUUUUUUUGUUUUGUUUUGUUUUUUUCUUUUUAUGGCUUGUGCCUGCAGCAUAUUGGGGUUCCCAGGCUAGGGGGUUGAAUUGGAGCUGCAGCUGCCAGCCUAUACCAGAGCCACAGCAAUGUGGGAUCCAAGCCACAUCUGCAACCUACACCACAGCUCAUGGCAAUGCCGAAUCUUUAACUCACUGAGCAAGGUCAGGGAUCAAAAUUGCGUCCUCGUGGAUGCUAGUCAGAUUGGUUUCUACUGAGCCACGACAGGAACUCCUGGAUACACAAAGUUUUAAAGAUGCGAAUGAGUUCCCUGGUGGCAGUGAUUUAAGGAUCUGGCAUUGUCACUGCUGUGCUGCAGGUUUAAUCCCUAGCCCUGGAACUUCCACAUGCUGUGGGCAUAGCCAAAAAACAAGCAAGCAAACAAACAAACAAACCCCUCAAGAAACAAACCAUAAAGAUGUGAGCCAAUAAAAAUAAUCAUGGGAAUUGUCUUAUUAAGGAACUUGCCCAAGGUUGAUAUAGCUGCUGGGCUGGGUAUCUGAAUGUGGUCUGACUACACAAGGAUGAUGCUUUACUGCUUCCAAAGUAUCUACAGGUUGAGGCAUCGUGGAGUAGAGCCAGAAAGAGGGUGGACACUUAAGAUGGAUUCCUUAGUGGUAUGAAUUUUGACCCAGGAUUGGAAGGAAGGAUAUGAAACUGAUGGAGAAGAGGCAAGAAGACAGUCUGAGCAUGGAGGGGGCAUGCACAAAAACUGAGGACUAACCCCAAACUUUGUGCCACAGACAGCCACUUAGAGCUGUGUGACCUUGGGCAAACUCCUUGACUCUGCAUCUCAGCUUGCUUAUCUGUUAACAGAAGGAUAAUAGUAUCAUCGACCUGGUAAGGUAGCUGUGAGCAUUACUGGAAUAUAUGUGAUGGGCUUAAGCUGGUCCCUGGCACACAGUCAACACUCAGUGUAGGUUAGCUGUUAUUCGCCUGUUUAGAAAGAGGGACCAUCCUAGGCAAUAAUCCGAGGCACAAGGAUGAGACUAAAAGAAGGGACUCAUCAAUGGUGGGAGGGACCUCAAAGGGCACUUUAGGGGAUAUUAACCCCUCAUUUCUCAGAGCUCCUAUAGGCCUUCUAGCACAUCCCUGUGUUAUGUUGUUUUCUGUUUUACGCGAAGCUAUACUUUCCUCUCAAGUGAAUGAUAAUUUUAAAAAGUGGUAAGGUCUUUAGAGUCAGCAAGACCAGCUUCAUCCGGCGUUCCUGUUGUGGCUCAGCAGAAACGAAUCUGACUAGUAUCCAUGAGGAUGCAGGUUGGAUCCCUGCUCAGUGGGCUAAGGAUCCGGCGUUGCCGUGAGCUGGGGUGUAGGUUGCAGACACAGCUCAGAUCUGGGGUUGCUGUGGCUAUGAAAUAGGCCAGGGGCAACAGUUCUGAUUCGAUCCCGACCUAGCCUGGGCACCACCAUAUGCCAUGGGUGCAGCCCUUACAAAGACAAAAAAAAAAGCAGCUUUGUCCCGCUGAAAGGACAUUAGAACAUUCAUAACAGGCUGUCAUCAGCUUGUGCUUGAAUAGUUCCAGUGGCAGAAAAGCUCACCAUCAUGUGCUUUAAUCCAUUCCACCUGUGAACAACUCUUACACGAAUGUCUUUCUAAUAAUAAACUGAGAUACGGCUUCUUGGAGCAUCUAACCUCCCCCACCUCUCUCUCUCUUUUUUUUGACAUUCUGUAUAGUCUGCAGGAUAUAAUAUAGUGCUAGACAUAUGCGAAUUGAGCCUCUGUUGAGAUUACAGGUCUGGGCUCUUGCUGCCUUCAUGCUGUCCCCAGGUCUUUGCUGCUUCUUGGGUCUCAGUAUGAAAACCCCCUCAGAGAGGACUGACCACUAUCUUUACUUUAUUAAUUAAUUAGUUAAUUAAUUUCGCUUUUUAGGCCACUCCUGCG
rnacentral:lncRNA from 1 species